rnacentral:rRNA from 1 species
CCUACGGGAGACAGCAGUAGGGAAUCUUCGUCAAUGGGCGCAAGCCUGAACGAGCAAUGCCGCGUGAAGGAGGAAGGUCUUCGGAUCGUAAAGUUCUGUUGAAGGGGAAAAAGAGCGGAGUGAGGAAAUGGUCUCCGAUUGAUAUUACCAUUCGAGGAAGUCACGGCUAACUACGUGCCAGCAGCCGCGGUAAUACGUAGGUGGCGUGCGUUAUCCGGAAUGAGUGGGCGUAAAGGGUGCGUAGGCGGCCUGCUGAGUCUGGAGUGACAGGUACCGGCUCAACCGGUACAGGCUCUGGAAAGUGGCGGGCUAGAGUGCAGGAGAGGGCGGUGGAACUCCAUGUGUAGCGGUAAAAUGCGUAGAUAUAUGGAAGAACACCAGUGGCGAAGGCGGCCGCCUGGCCUGUUACUGACGCUGAGGCACGAAAGCGUGGGGAGCAAAUAGGAUUAGAUACCCGUGUAGUC